rnacentral:rRNA from 1 species
GUCCGCACCGUAAACGAUGGUCACUAGGUGUACGCGGUAUCGACCCCGCGUGUGCCGCAGCUAACGCAUUAAGUGACCCGCCUGGGGAGUACGGCCGCAAGGUUGAAACUCAAAGGAAUUGACGGGGGCCCGCACAAGCGGUGGAGCAUGUGGAUUAAUUCGUCACAAACCGAAGAACCUUACCCAGGCUUGACAUCUCGGGAACCCUGAUGAAAGUUGGGGGUGCUUCGCAAGAAGAGCCCGAAGACAGGUGUUGCAUGGCUGUCGU